ACUACAUUAGACUACCCCGUAGUCCUAGCCGUAAACGAUACUCGCUAGGUGUCGGCCACGGUGCGACCGUUGUCGGUGCCGUAGGGAAGCCGUGAAGCGAGCCACCUGGGAAGUACGGCCGCAAGGCUGAAACGUUAAAGGAAUUGGCGGGGAGCACCACAAGAGGUGGAGGCUGCGGUUCAAUUGGAUUCAACGCCGGAAACUCAUCGGGAGCGACAGCAGUAUGAUUGCCAGGUUGAUGACCUUGCUUGACAAGCUG
rnacentral:rRNA from 1 species